rnacentral:lncRNA from 1 species
ACAACAUCCCAAGUCUGGUUUGUGUCCAAGGCUUCAAACUCCUGUCUCAUGGCAGCUUGCCAAGCUGGAACAGAUGCUGCCUGAGAAUAGUAUUGAGGCUCAACUUCCAAAGAGGAGGAAGAAGAACCAGAGAAAGCAGGAAGUUGGCACACAUAAUCCUUAAGGUGGGAAGGGGGAUUAUGAAUUCUAGUAGAUUUCCUAAGAGCUGGAACAGAAAUAGGAUCCAAAAUAGGAGGACUGAGUGGAGGAGAAGAAGCUGGAUGGAUAGGUGAAUCAGAAACAGAAGGAGAGGAAGGAAUAGGAGAAUCAGAACCAUUAAGAUUAUCAUCAUGUUCUCCAGAAUGGAUAAAGGGAAAAGUUGGACUUGAUGGAGGAACAGAGAGAGAUCCAUUUUUAAAAGGGAAAACUGAUUCAUUAAACUGGACAUCCCUGGAAACUAAAUACUUCUUGGAAGUAAAAUCAUAAAGUCUGUAACCCUUCUUACCAAAUGGAUAUCUCAGAAAAACACAAGGAAUAGCCCUAGGUUUCAAUUUGUCCCGUUGAGGAAUAGGAACAGUGGCAUAAGCUAGGCAACCAAAGACCCUUAAAUGAGCAUAGGAAGGAACAUGGCCAUAUACAAUCUCAUGAGGAGACUUGUUAUUUAAUAACCUGGUUGGGACCCUGUUAAUGAGAUAAGUAGCAGUCAGUAAACAAUCCCCCCAAAAAGACACUGGUAGACCAGAUUGAAAGAGCAAAGCUCUACAAGCCUCAAGAAGAGUCCUAUGUUUUCUCUCAACUACACCAUUUUGUUGAGGUGUAUGAGGACAAGAAGUUUGAUGAAUGAUACCCUGACUGCUAAAGAAAGAUAUGCCCUCAUUGCUAGAACCCAGCUCUAAAGCAUUAUCACUUCUAACAGUCUGAACAACAUCUCAUUGCUAGAACCUAGCUCUAAAGCAUUAUUACUUCUAACAGUCUGAACAACAGAAUUAAACUGAGUUCUGGCCAUAGCAAUAAAAGACUUCAGCAUAGAAAAAGAAUUACAUUUGGACCCUAAUAAAUGUGUCCAGGUUGCCCUUGAAUAAUCAUCAACAAUGGUAAGAAAGUAUUUACAACCAGAAAAAGUUGAAGUAUGGUAAGGUCCCCAGGUAUCCACAUGAAUCAGUUGGAAAGGUUUGGAAGUUCUAAUAGAACUAUCAGGGAAAGGGAGCCUGGUUUGUCUGGCCAUAGGACAAACAGAGCAAGGAAAUGACUGUUUGGAAGCACAUUGGAAAGGAAGACCAGAAAUGCAUUUCAUGUUAACAAACGGAAUGUGUGCAAGUCUCAAGUGCCUAGUGUAAUUCAUAUCAGAUUUAAAAUCAUUAUUACAAUUGG